rnacentral:rRNA from 1 species
GUAGGGUGCAAGCGUUAAUCGGAAUUACUGGGCGUAAAGCGUGCGCAGGCGGUUUUGUAAGUCUGUCGUGAAAGCCCCGGGCUUAACCUGGGAAUUGCGAUGGAGACUGCAAGGCUUGAAUCUGGCAGAGGGGGGUAGAAUUCCACGUGUAGCAGUGAAAUGCGUAGAGAUGUGGAGGAACACCGAUGGCGAAGGCAGCCCCCUGGGUCAAGAUUGACGCUCAUGCACGAAAGCGUGGGGGAGCAAACAGGAUUAGAUACCCUGGUAGUCCACGCCCUAAACGAUGUCUACUAGUUGUCGGGUCUUAAUUGACUUGGUAACGCAGCUAACGCGUGAAGUAGACCGCCUGGGGAUACGGUCGCAAGAUUA